rnacentral:tRNA from 1 species
AGAAAAUUAGUUAAAAAAUAACGUUAAUUUGUCAAGUUAAAAUUACAAUUGUAUUUUCUG